UACGGAGGGUGCGAGCGUUGUCCGGAAUCACUGGGCGUAAAGGGCGCGUAGGCGGCCUGAUAAGUAGGGGGUGAAAUCCUGCGGCUUAACCGCAGGGCUGCCUUCUAAACUGUCAGGCUGGAGCACAGUAGAGGCAGGUGGAAUUCCCGGUGUAGCGGUGGAAUGCGUAGAGAUCCGGAAGAACACCGGUGGCGAAGGCGGCCUGCUGGGCAGUGGCUGACGCUGAGGCGCGACAGCGUGGGGAGCAAACAGG
rnacentral:rRNA from 1 species